rnacentral:rRNA from 1 species
UACGUAGGGUGCGAGCGUUGUCCGGAAUUAUUGGGCGUAAAGGGCUCGUAGGCGGUCUGUUGCGUCGGGAGUGAAAACUCAGGGCUUAACCCUGAGCCUGCUUCCGAUACGGGCAGACUAGAGGUAUGCAGGGGAGAACGGAAUUCCUGGUGUAGCGGUGAAAUGCGCAGAUAUCGGGAGGAACACCGGUGGCGAAGGCGGUUCUCUGGGCCUGUGCUGACGCUGAGGAGCGAAAGCGUGGGGAGCGAACAGG